UACAGGGGGGUGCAAACGUUGCUCGGAAUCAUUGGGCGUAAAGCGCACGUAGGCGGUUAUUUAAGUCGGAUGUGAAAGCCCUUGGCUCAACCGAGGAAGUGCAUCCGAAACUGAAUAGCUGGAGUACGAAAGAGGGUCGCGGAAUUCCCGGUGUAGAGGUGAAAUUCGUAGAUAUCGGGAGGAACACCGGUGGCGAAGGCGGCGACCUGGGUCGAUACUGACGCUGAGGUGCGAAAGCGUGGGGAGCAAACAGGG
rnacentral:rRNA from 1 species